rnacentral:rRNA from 1 species
CAGUCGCCGCGGUAAUACGAAGGGGGCUAGCGUUGCUCGGAAUGACUGGGCGUAAAGGGCGCGUAGGCGGUUUACGCAGUCAGGUGUGAAAUUCCCGGACUUAACCUGGGGGCUGCACUUGAUACGCGUAGGCUUGAGUUCGGAAGAGGGUCGUGGAAUUCCCAGUGUAGAGGUGAAAUUCGUAGAUAUUGGGAAGAACACCGGUGGCGAAGGCGGCGACCUGGUCCGAUACUGACGCUGAGGCGCGAAAGCGUGGGGAGCAAACAGGAUUAGAUACCCGAGUAGUCCCUGUCUCUUAUAC